rnacentral:rRNA from 1 species
UAUUCCGCAAUGGGCGAAAGCCUGACGGAGCAAUGCCGCGUGGAGGUAGAAGGCCUACGGGUCAUGAACUUUUUUUCCCGGAGAAGAAAAAAUGACGGUAUCCGGGGAAUAAGCAUCGGCUAACUCUGUGCCAGCAGCCGCGGUAAGACAGAGGAUGCAAGCGUUAUCCGGAAUGAUUGGGCGUAAAGCGUCUGUAGGUGGCUUUUUAAGUUCUCCGUCAAAUCCCAGGGCUCAACCCUGGACAGGCGGUGAAAACUACCAAGCUAGAGUACGGUAGGGGCAGAGGGAAUUUCCGGUGGAGCGAUGAAAUGCGUAGAGAUCGGAAGGAACACCAACGGCGAAAGCACUCUGCUGGGCCGACACUGACACUGAGAGGCGAAAGCUAGGGGAGCGAAUGGG